AUUCUACUCCCUCCGUCCGGAAAUACUUGUCGGACAAAUAGAUGUAUUUAGACGUAUUUUAGUUAUAUUAGUUAUAGAUACAUCCAUUUUCAUCCAUUUCGGCGACAAGUAAUUCCGGACGGAGGAAGUAUUAU
rfam:Triticum aestivum genome assembly, contig: Triticum_aestivum_CS42_TGACv1_scaffold_288159_4AL